UGGGGAAUAUUGGACAAUGGGCGCAAGCCUGAUCCAGCAAUGCCGCGUGUGUGAAGAAGGCCUUCGGGUUGUAAGGCACUUUUAUCAGGAGCGAAACGCUGUCGGCUAAUACCCGGCGGAACUGACGGUACCUGAGGAAUAAGCACCGGCUAACUUCGUGCCAGCAGCCGCGGUAAUACGAAGGGUGCAAGCGUUAAUCGGAAUUACUGGGCGUAAAGCGUGCGUAGGCGGUCUCUUAAGUCUGCUGUGAAAUCCCCGGGCUCAACCUGGGAAUGGCAGUGGAUACUGGGAGGCUAGAGUGUGUCAGAGGGUGGUGGAAUUCCCGGUGUAGCGGUGAAAUGCGUAGAGAUCGGGAGGAACAUCAGUGGCGAAGGCGGCCACCUGGGACAACACUGACGCUGAGGCACGAAAAGCGUGGGGAGCAAACAGGAUUAGAUACCCUGGUAGUCCACGCCCUAAAACGAUGCGAACUGGAUGUUGGUCUCAACUCGGAGAUCAGUGUCGAAGCUAACGCGUUAAGUUCGCCGCCUGGGGAGUACGGUCGCAAGACUGAAACUCAAAUGAAUUGACGGGGUCAUAGCUGUUUCC
rnacentral:rRNA from 1 species